UACGUAGGCAGCGAGCGUUGUUCGGAGUUACUGGGCUUAAAGGGCGCGUAGGCGGGCUGUCAAGUCUGGGGUGAAAUGCCGCGGCUCAACCGUGGAACUGCCUCAGAUACUGACGGCCUCGAGGAAGGUAGGGGCAUGCGGAACUGUAGGUGGAGCGGUGAAAUGCGUUGAUAUCUACAGGAACACCGGUGGCGAAAGCGGCGUGCUGGACCUUUUCUGACGCUGAGGCGCGAAAGCUAGGGGAGCAAACGGG
rnacentral:rRNA from 1 species